rnacentral:lncRNA from 1 species
UAAGCUGCUUUUUGUACCUACCUACUACGACCGAAUAUAUGACAUUCUGCAAACUUCUGCGCGAUUAUGAAAUUUGGAUUUACAAUAAAAUUUGCCGGUUGAGAUUGCUACAAUUUUACAUACCUAUUGUUAUCAUGGUUCAUUAUUUUGCCGGGACUGGUACAUGCUGUGCGGUACAUACCAAUCCGAUGGAGAACUGAGUAGCGGACCACCUGGAAUCAGGAAAUGGGUAUAUAACAAUUUGUUGUAUCGAAGAGUUUGCUUGUUUAUCAGACUGGCUUCUCUCAGAAUCAUUUAUAGGCUCCAAAUUUCCUCUAGCUUUCUUUUUGGUCUGACUGGUUGUUUGACUGAAGUUUUGCCUGAUACUGCCUAUCAUUGAUGACUCUUGUGCCCUGACAUCCUUUUGUGCAGACAAGAAACAUUGAUUCUAAGCAUUUUUUGGGUGAGCUUCCAUCCUUUGUUUCUAACAUACUGCAGAAAAUCUUAUCAUUUCCUGGUCUUGGUCGUGAUCAAAACAAAGAAAUGGAUCAGUUGACGGUAUGUACCAUACAUUUGUUUCUCACUGUUCUCGAUGUGUUCAUUAAAUUCUUUCUACACGAGUAAGCUAGAAAUAGUUGGCUGCAACUUUAUCUAUAAAGAGAAUAUAUUAUAACACUUCAAUUUCUUGUUGUGCCAUCUCAGUCUCUUUAAUUUGUUUUAAGAUUUUUGGAGUCAUUUUGACAAUUAAGUCACAAUGUGAUCGAUGGAAUUGUGUUACAUAAGCUGUCCGUUUUAUGCCUUUAGUUUGAUUAUUAUUCCUUAUGGCAGAACUUGUUAUUUCCCUCUUUUCAGUACUACAUGAGCUUUGUAGUUGCUUAACUUUUUUUAUUGCUAAGUGAACUUUGUUGUUGCAUGAGCCUACUAGGCUACCAGCGAACUGGACUUGUUGGUUUCCGAGGCAAUAAUUCUCCUUUCUUAAGGGGGAAAUCUGUACCAACCUGAAAGGUUGAUGUCCAAUCAGUUCCUUAGUUUAGGGUAUUUGCACUAUAGCCAUCCAUAUACCACUACGAAAAUGCCUCAAUAAAUAGAUUUAGUGUUGGUGUCGAUAGAGCCUGGUUAUAUCAUAUUACUAUAGUGGCCCUACAUUUAUUCCAUGGAUGAUAAUUUUUGUUACUUUGGGGUUUUUAUCGUGGGCUAUUAUUAACUAUGUAUUUAGAUGAAUAUGAAAUCACUAAUGUUGUAAAAGUCUAUCAACCAAGAGAUUUUUGUCAAACAAAAGUUUAUAUAAACAAAUUGUGAUUUAGUCAAUAUCAGUGUCAAAAAGUCCAGUGCUUAAUUUACCUAUUCAAGAAAAUAUCCAGGAAGAUUCUAAUUAUUCUACAAUUAUUCACAUUUUAACUACUAAAACUCAUUACCAUCCAAGGAGAUAGAUAUGAAGGAUACAAAAGAAACAUGCAUCUUCUUUAAUAUGGCAGUACCAAUACUAUUUUUUUUGCUCCAUGUUUAAGAAUGUUAGCAAAAACUAGAGAGUAGUGUUUGGCAAAGUUCUAGAUUUGGUCCAGUAUCAAUACCAAUCUAUUGAUGGAUUGGUUUGGUAUUGUAUGCAAGGUUGUUUAGGGAUGUCAACAGGGUAGGGUGGGGGUGGGGGUGGGGGCGGGGGCGAGGGCGAGGAAUGCUUCCCCCAUCACCAUCCCCGUUUCAUCCCUCAUUCCCUAUCCACACCUCAUUUCCCAUUUAGACAAGGCGGGGUGCAGGGACAAGGAAUCCCUACCGGGGGCAAGGAACUUGCACGUUCUUUAUAUUCUCCUAAUCAAUCCAUUUCAUUUUAGAAAAAAAUAAAAUUAUUAUCAAAACUAAUUAACAAUAUCAAAAUUUUUAAAUAAUAACAAUAAUAUUUGUAAAGUUUGCAUGUCAUAACUCGUAAUUUUAUUGAUGUUUUGAUAUUGUUUCAUUUGGUUCAAUUGAACUAAAUGACUCGCAAUUAUCUCACAAUUGACUCAACGAAGGCUCAACUUAGCUUGAUUUGAAUCAGGUCGGUGCCUAGUCUACCCAGCAUUUGGGCUCACAUAUUGAUAGGGUGGGGAUGGGUACGUGGACGUGUGGGAGUGCUCUACCCAUCUGGCCCCAUAACCGCAUAGGUAAUAGAAAAUACCCUUCAUCCCUAACCUCAUCCCCACUUAUUCCCCCCAUCCCUGCCCUUAGGGGAUGGGUCCCUGCGGGUACCUGUAUCCGUGGGUAUAAUUGAUGGCUUUAAGGUUGUACAUAUGUUGCUAUAACCCUUUAAAAUUGACAUGGAUUGGCCAAACCCUAUAGAAAAAAGUAUUUGAUUUAGUUUUUGACUAAUUAGGGUUAAUAGCAAGUAAGAAACAAAAUUUUGGGUAAAUAAUGACUGAAUAUUAAUUCAAAAUACGUGUGUUGCUAUGCCCUUGUACAAAUUGACAUGGAUUGGCCAAACCUAAUAUAAAUAAGUAUUUGAAUUAGUUUUCAACUAAUUAGGGUUAAUAGCAAGUAUAAAAACAAAAUUUUGGCUAAAUAAUGACUGUAUAGCAAUUCAAAAUAUGUUUUAAACAUAGAUUACAAACAGUAUAUGAAGAAAACAUUUAUGGAAGUAUUUAAAUGUCCUAAACAUGACAUAUGUUGUAUGUACUGGAAACACAUAAUUGAAAAUUUGAUGUUAUACCUUAAUAUAUGCUUAUCACCAACAAAAUGAUUGCCUUGAGUCAAUGGGAGAUGAUUCCAUGCUUUCAAUGUAACUUGGUUAUAAAUCAAGAUCAUAAUUUUGAAUGACCCAUUCAUAAAACUGCUUCUAUGGUACUAGAUAUUGGUAUAUGGUGUGCCACUAAUAAUUUUCUUAUGAAAUGAUUAGUUCAAAUGUUUUUCUCUUUAAAUUUCUUAUCAUAUGGGUUCUUAUUAUAUGUUUUGGGAAGUCUAAACUACCUUCGAUUUUGAUUACAGGUUAAUGAAUAUCCAUGUGGGGUAGGCUUAUCCCCACACAUAGACACUCAUUCGGCAUUUGAUGAACUCAUCUUCAGCCUUUCAACAGCUGGUCCAUGCAUUAUGGAAUUUAGGAGAUAUCCUGAAGGGACUUGGUGCCAUCCAACUGCAUCUGUUAAUGAAAUACAUGAAGACACCCCUCUUUUAUCCUCGUAUAUUACUAGAAAAGCUAUUUUUCUUCCUCCUCGUUCUAUGCUCUUGAUGUCUGGGGAAGGGCGUUAUGCUUGGCAUCAUUAUAUUCCACAUCGCAAGGUAUGCCUUUUAUAGUAGCUCUUGACAAAUCCAAACAUGCUAGCAUAUUAUUGACUUUGUCGAAGAAGGUACUCUAUUUGAAUCAUGAUAGAGAUCUCAUUUUGAGACAUUUUCUCAUCAUAUUCGAAUUAUUUAGUGUAAUUAAAAAAGGAACCUCGUUUUAAGAAUCUCAUAUUUCAUUCAUUGAAUGUUUGUUGUCCCUUUUUCAUUGACAUUAUUUGCCCUACAACAAGAAGAUAAUAAUAAAAUAUUGAGGUCUCAACUACUUGGGCAUUUCUGUUGUUUUUCAAAAAAAAAUCUUUGGUCUUCAACUAUGUUUCCUUGCACCAAAUGCUUUAAUUUGGAUCUAUGGAUCACUGCAGUCUGAUAGUGAUAGAGCAUUAUGUUGGCCAGACACCGAUAUGGUUCAAGAUAGAAAUUACCACUCAUUAAGCUCACUAUGUCAGGCUUACCGGGCGAUAAGUGAUUGGUACCAGUUUUACUAUUUGGUAUGCCUAUUGCCUGUUACUGGUAUUGUAUCUUUCUCUAUUUUUAAAUUUUAUUUCAAGUUGACAGUUGUCAGUAGUUGCUUUUUCUUAUAUUUCUUUCUAUUUCUCCUCCAUUGCCUCCGUUUCCUCCACCUCAUCUUCUCCUCCUCUUACUUUGCCUCCUGUUCUCCUCCUCCUCAUCCACAUUGCCAUCACUGCCUCUUCUUCUCCAUAUCACCGUUAUUGCCUUCUCAUACCGGUAUGUGUCGCGUCCUCUUUUCUUCUCUUUGUCUAAUUUGGUUGUAUGCCAAUUUAUGCUAGUAUUGUAUUGAUCCGGCCACAGAUUGGUAUCAGUUUGGAACCUAUAUUCUAAACCAUGUGUUGCAUCAUUUGUUAUAAUUGAUUCACCUUAUUUAAUCGGUACAUGUAGAUCUAGAAUAACCGUGAAUAUUGUGCCUAAAUCUGUUAUAAGUUAGGCUUGUUAAAUCAUUUUUUGCAGGUAAAUAAUUUUUUGCAGGUUGAUAGAGUAGGGGAAACGGCAUUCGAAAGAAGUUCACGUAGGGUUUCUUUCACUUUCCGCAAGGUUUGCUUAUACUUACAAUUUUUUGUUCAUCUUCAGUAUCUAUUUAUUGAGUUGGAUAGAAAGAAGUAUCGGGGGUGAACUAUUCUUAAGCAUUUACAAUUUUGCUUUGUUGGAAAACACAUUUCCCAUACAAUAGAUGAAGUAUAAGGUUGCUUUGUGUAGUUUUUGUUUUCCUUAAUACCUCUAUUUAUGAUUGUAAUAUUCUGGUGAAUAGCACCAAUUCUUAUUAAAUAAUCUGUGUAAUUUUUUUUAGUAGAUCUUUUAUUUGUUCUAAGUAAAAUAUUUUUUUUAAGGGUAACCAGUGAUUCAAAGAAUUUGUAAGACAAAUUUUGGAUCCUCAACAAGUCGGGUACACCAUCACCAUACCAAUACUUUGAGUAUAGAAUAUUUAGAUGAGAUUUCGAACCCUUAAUCCAAGUUUAAUAAAUCGAGUACCCCUCAUUGGACUAGCUUAUUGGGGGUAGAAUUUAGAGAAUGAGGAAUCAAACCAUCAACCUAAGAUAAGUACCUUUACCCAACUAAUAUUCAGGUUUAGAAUAAACUUCUUAAUCAUGUAUGAUGUUUUAUUUUAAUAUUAUAGUACAAUCGAGGUUCGUAAUUUCAUACCGUGUCGGUGUAUCGAGCUUUGCUCGGUAUGGUACGUUAUGGGCGUAUCGAGCAGUAUGCUAAGGUGUAUCGCUCGGUAUGUAUAUAUAUAAUAUAAAAAUGUAAUAAUUAUAAAAAAUAAUAUAUAAAAAUAAAAAUAAUAAAAAAAGGAGACAUACGCUGCCUUUGUGGUGUUGCCUCCUUUUCUUCUCCUCGUCGCGUCAGAUGAGGAGAAGAACGUGGUCUUCUCCUCAUUUGCGACGUUCGACGAAGACGUCGAAGGUCGCAAAUGUGUCCUACUUUUGGCGAAGAACACGGUGAAGGCCGUAGGCAUCUCUGGCCUUCGGUGAAGAACGCGAUGAAGAAGUCGAGCCGCCACCACUCUGUUACCUCCUGGGUCGGGAUCGUCGAGGGAGGGCGACGUCGGAUCGGGAAGCAUCGAGGUUCUCCCGAUUCUCCCUUUUCUUCAAGUGCCUUCUCCAUUUUCUUUGAGCGCCUUCUCCCUCUUCUCCCUUGAUGCUUCUUCUUCCCUCGUUGCAGCUAGGCUGAUACCGCAUGGUAGCGGGCGACAAUGGUCAAUUACCGACUUGUUUCGAGCGGUAACGGUUGAAAUAUUGAUCGUUACCACUUGAUACAGCCCUGUAUCGUCCGAUACAAGGCUAGAUCAACGGUACCACCUGGUACAAGCGGAAUCAUUUAGUGUUGUAGUCCUGAGUACAACUAUAAUUUAGUACAAGAUUUAUCAUACCACAACAUACUGCUCAGUACGGGCGAUAUGUACCAAUCUGACAAGGGGUGGUAUAUUGGUAUGUUCCAUGUAUCGUGUGUUGGUACACUUGGUAUGGCUUAGUACAACUCGGUAUGUACCGUACCAAUAGUUUGUCGGUACAUCGGUAUGGACCGGUAAGACGAACUAUGAUUUAUUAUAGUGUAGUUUUAGUGUGUGGUAUGAAGUUUAUAAAUAGUAUGCUUCUUGUAGCAUAUAGUAAAUAUCUGCUAUUACAUUUCGUAGCCUUCUGAAUAUAAUGAACCACAUUAACAAUACCAUGAGCAAUCACCUGUAUUGCCAUUCUAGUUGUGGCACUGUAACUUUUUUGUCCUCUAUAUAAAUCUUAUAAACUUCUAGUUUCUGCACACGCUAUUAACUAACGUGCUAUAUGGUAUGGGUUGACAUGAACGCUUGUUCCAACUUGUUGGUAUUGCCUAUGCACCUUGUUGGUAUUUCAUAUGCACCUUGCACUUUUUUUACAAACUUCUCUGGUCAGUUAGUAGUUGGAAUUCGACCGUGAUCAUUAUGCCUCAUUUCUCUAUUGCAAGCUUUUCAAAUAGUGUUAGUUAGAUCUAGUUUAUUAAUUCAAAGAAAGAUACACGUCAUUGUAGGUUAUGAAAGGAUCAUGCUGCUGUCCAUACAAGCAGUAUUGUGACUCUCAACUGGAAUGUAGAAAUCAACAGGUAAAACAAGACAUAGUCCAAUCAUCUCUACCAUUGAAACGAGAAGCAUUUUGUCCAACAGACACUGACCGAAUAUAAAGGUAAAUUUCAGUUUUUCACUUAGUCAUUUGUUAAAUUAAAUUAAGAUGCAAAGAAUAAUGAGGAAAAAGUUAACCUUUUGAAUGUUGUGCAGGUUUCUAACCAUGAUUAUCCUGUGACAACCUGUGUUGAUUGGACUCUAAAUCAGGUGCACUAUGAUGAAAGCCGACUUUUAUAAUCACCUCUCAUAACAAUCAUUCAGUUGUAACAUCUUCAUGUUGAUUCUUUUUUCUGGAGCUGAGAUGGCUGAUAAUGAAUAUUCGGAGAUUUUGUUUUCAAUUUUUCCUUUAGCUGCUUUUGUGAUUCCCGGAGAAACUCUUGCAGACUUAUUUUGGCACAAUAUGAUUGUUGUGUCGUGUUUUGGUUUCUUUCUUCUCCUAUCUUUGAAACAUUUUAGUUCAAGGAGACACAUUUUACUGGAUUUUCUUGAUUUUGUUGUAUUAAGUGUUGUGCUUAUAGCUUUGGAUCCAAUGCCCAUACUAAAUAGGGAAAAGGGGGCACCAGUAAAUUCUGCAUGAGAUGUUCGAAUAUCUUACUGGGCAUUGGAUGAUGUACUUAUGGGCUAAUUAUCUUGUGGCCAACUUAAAGCUGCAACCAUUACGAGGAAGUGAUCAAUUUGAUGUACUUAUGGGCUAAUUAUCUUGAGGACUUUAUUACAAGACCAUCUUAUGGGCAUGAUCAUCUUGAGGACAUGAAUGAUCUUGAGGACUUGAUUACAAGACCAUCUUAUGGGUAUGAUCAUCUUGAGGACUUGAUUACAAGACCAUCUUAUGGGUAUGAUCAUCUUGAGGAUUUGAUUACAAGACCAUCUUAUGGGCAUGAUCGAUCUUGAGGACUUGAUUACAAGACCAUCUUAUGGGCAUGAUCGAUCUUGAGGACACGACAGGCUUCAUGAUGCAAUCGGACUCGAUGGCAUUCUCAAUAUUUUGUGGGCAUGACCAUCUUGAAGGCGUGACUAAGUAAUUGUUUUAAUAAUAUAAUAGACUUCAAUGUAUGAUCAUCUCGAGGGUGCAAUCGUGUGACCAUCUUGACGAUAUGAUCAGCUUGAAGGUGUGCUCAUCUUGAUGACGCUUCUGAGUUGAGGGUGCAAUUGUCUAAAGCUUGUGAUCGUUGUAAUGACGUGUUUACCGUGAGAAAGCAAUUAAUCCAAAGAGGUGAGGUCAGGUGGAGGGGCAAUUGUUGUUGGCUUGAAGGUGCGUCUAUCUUGACUUGACAAUGCAUUUGAUUUGAGCACUGCCUAGAGGUUGCGAUCGUUUUCACGACAUAGCUGUCUUGAGAAAGGAAUCAAUUCGGAGAGGUCAAUCAAGGGGGUGCAAUUGUCUUCGAGGUGUAGUUGACUUGACGAUAUGAUCGGCUUCAAGGUGUGACCAUCUCGACAAUGCGUCCGACUUGAGGGUUCAUAACAAUGUGGCUCAUCUUGAGAAAGCAAUUGAUAUGAAGAGGUCAAGUUGAGGGGUGCAAUUGUGUCGAAGAGGUCAGGUCGACUUGACGUUAUGAUCGUGUUGUUGAAGGUGCAGACUAUCUUGACAAUUCAUCCAAUUUGAGGGUGCAAUUGUCUGGAUGCAUCCAUGACUAUUUUAACAAUGUGGCUCUUUUGAGCAAGCAAUUAAUUCGGAUAAGUUGGGUCGAGGGGCAAUCAUCUUGAAUGUGUAGUCGAUUUGAAGGUGCGACCAUCUUGACGAUAUAUCCGACUUCAGGUUGUCCGUCCGGAGGCUGCAACAUAUUUGUCUUGAAUCCACAAAGGUCUGGGAUGCAAUCAUAUUGAACUUGACAAUAUAUAUAUAAUCGACUUUAAGUUGCGACCAUAUUGACAAUGUGUUUGACUUGUGGGUGCAACCGUCGUAGACGUCAUAACUGGACCUUAUUUUUUUUAAUAUAAAAUUAGAUUUAAUUGUUCGAUGGGUUAUAAAUAUCAGAUUUUGAUAAUAAAAUUAAUUAAUAAAUUAAUUUAUUAUUGAUAAAAAAAAUAUUUUGAUUAAAGAUUAAGACUACCAAUCAAUCAAAUGUUGAGUGGAAUAGUCGAAUAUUGUGCUUGAAGAUUAUCGUGCUAAAACAUUAAAUGUCUAAUUAAGGAUCGAAUUUAUUGUUAGAAGUUCUAUGGUCAAAGGAUCUCUUAAUACGGUUGAUAUGCUAGAGGAUAAAGUCAUGUAUCAAAGACACGAACGAAUUAUCGAAAGAUCGGAUGAUAUGUUAGAAAAGUAAACAACGGGCCAAAAGCCUUAAAAAUGUGUCGGAUGAGACAUUUAUGAGUCAAGGUUUUGAUCCAUGUCAUUUCGAACUAAUUCAAGUUCGAUAAUAAGCUAAAAUAGAGCUCACUUAUUAUAUCUAACGCAUCGAGAAACAUUUAUGUGAUUAAGAAAUAUGACAAGAAAGCUAAUCUUCCAUGGAACCGGCGGCAACUUUACGACACGAAGAAUUGCAUGGAUACGGGCAGUCGAUCUUCCUUACAGCAGAACUCCGACCGAAGUACCAGUCUCCCACAGCCUUCCCAAUUGGCUGCAAGAAAGAACAGAUAUGAUCAUCACCAUGGAAUUCCCAUUUCUGACACGAGUGAUGAAGUUUUCACAGAGCUGCUAGAGCUUACAGUGUUAUCGAUCUUUGGAGAAUCAUCUGAAUACCAGAUAUCCGCAUCUCCAGAUAGGCAAUGAGUGUGGCAUGAGAGGAUGAACAAUCCCGUAGACGAGCUGCCUGCUCCCGGCAGUGCGUUCAGGAACGUUGUCCUGAAACCUGAUAUCGACGUAUUAGCUCACUCUUUACACACGAAGAAUAAAUUGGCAGUUGACAUAAAUCUAGAAUUACUCGCCAGCUGAUCUACAAGUUCUUCAAAGAUCAGUAUUUGAAUCGCCUAACGUAGACAGCCACUACUGACACAUCACACCCAUUCGGUCGACAAGUGAAACCUCGUCCCACGGGUCGAUGGCAUGGCACAAGAUGACCCCAUGAGUUCAGUCACACAACAUUGACGGAAAGGUUGACCCGAUAAAAUUAGUACUUUAUAAUCCAUUAUCAUCGACAUUUACCUGUACCAAACAGUUGACUAUCACGUUAUAAAAGGGUUCUCUUUAACUUAGGUAUUUAACUGAAUCAUCAGAACUCUUACUAGCCUAAGUAUCAAAAGAACAUUUAGCUCUUUGUAGGGUCUAUGCCUAAGUUCCCGGCACCUUAGGUUAAGACAAACUCGAAAAUAGAUAUCGAUUAGUUUCGAACCCGAACUCACACUUGUUGGACAAGGAUAACACAUAUGGUAACACCAACCUUGCAGUUUCUGAAGUUGAUCCGAGGAACAUUUCUUGAUAUCGAGCUUGCAGUCUCCCCAAGUGUUCUUCGGAUCAGCAGAGGAUGGCACUAAAAUAUGAUCGAUCUGCGAAUAGGUAACAUACGUCACAUCGUAGAAACCUUCACGAGAGUAGUUUAUAAGAUAAUAUAGCUCAUUAAGUUACAACCUGCCAUUGAUCAUAUGCUGCAUUGAGGAUAAAAAGGGGUGUCUUCAAUGUGGCCACCACGUUCUGUGGGAAAAAGCACUGCAUGUAUUCACGUAACCAAAGAGUAAGUUAGAUGACUUGAUGACUUCUGUAUUCGUUCCAGAGUGAAAGUACACUUCCCACCUUGUUUGCUGGUAACCUCGACGUGCAUGAAGAUGGCAAAUUAUUUGCUGAUCCCUUCAAAACCAGAAAGCACCACAGAAUUAUCAUCACAAAAAGUUAGAGGGAGUCAUCAAUCAGGAGCAUGGAAGGUCAGAGCAUACAUGAAGUUUAACAACAUCACCAUAAAAGGAUUGGAUCGCGUCUGCUCCAGAAAUAUCCUUCCUGUUCAUAGAAACCUAGUACUGGUUAACGUCAGAGCCAGAAAGAGAUUCAGAGAUCACAAUCAAAUUAACAUAUAUUAGGUUAGACAUCGACUCAAUCCAAAAGUUUAAGCCAUUUGAGUACAGACAAAACCUAGUAUAUGUAAACUUAGCGAUAAACGACUAUCCACUCAAUCCAUCUUUAUUAUCUUACACACAUGAAUAUUUUUGGUUUAACUCUCUUUAUCUCGUAUGUAUAUAUGUGAAUAUUUGCAACAGUAGCCCGACGAUGAGAUUCGUGACGCGGACUAAAGAUGUAGAACUUACGCAUCAAUGAAAUAACCAGCAUCGGAGAAGCAUUUCACUGUUGCAGUAGCUGGGAGAAGACUGCGGAAGUUGUCACAAUGUAGUAUGGUUGUCAAUCCACCUGCCGAGCAACCACCGAGAAGUGCCUGCGAGCAUUCACCAAUGUUAGAACAGAAACUUUGAGAGUGAUAAGACUUGACCACUUUACAUCUACAUACCUUUUGUGCUUUGUUCAUCCCCUUCGCCAAUAGAUCUUUCAUUAUAGCUCUCCAAACUCUGGCUCCUCUGAAGUGGAGACCUGUAGCCUAAUCAAACGAAGAUGUGAAAGACAUGUUAUCGAUACAACGUUGCUUAGCAAGGAAAUGAAACAUAUAUCAGAAGAAACAUCGGAUUAGGAGCUCACAGGAUCUACUUUUUCUAUGUCCCCUGUAAAUGAGGCACCAUCACAGUACCGAAUCUUGACCCGGUUCCAGUUAUAGAAGUCUGCAAGCAUUGCAAGAAUCAAAGCAAAGAAUAAGACAGCAAAAGCUCCAUAUUAUUAUUGUUGUUGUUGUAUUCGAUGGCAUCAUUCGAAUGAUACAAUGAAAGUUAAAUCUGACAUGCAUCAAGAAAUUGUGUUAAUAGUACAUUGGUAGAGAAGGAAGAUUAAUCAUACCAGGAUUGCUUUGCUGAACGCCUCCUAACAUGCCAGAGAAGGAUUGAGGCGGCAUAUGAUCAGAGGAACCUCUAAAAGUGUUUUUACGUGCUAAGCAUUCUUCAACAGUGCUGCACCAACCUCCUCCCUGCAAAAUGAGGGAGGGAUUUAUUCGGUGACCAAGGAUAGAUUAUUUCGAAACAUGGAUGUUCCAAUGGAUUUAUAAUAUCCUUCGAUAUAGUAUGGUAUUGUAAUACUCCCGUUACUCACACAUUCAAGAUGGACAAAAUUAAAAUUAAUUUAUAAGAGUCUAAUGAGUAUAUUAUUAUUAACUUUUAUUUAAAUAUUUUAAUUAAUAAUUUAAGAUAAAAAAAAUUAAUAAACCAAUUAACUCACUAAGUCAACCGUUUAUCGGUUCAACAGUUUGUCUUCACUGAUUAGGGUAAAUUGACUUUGCUCAUCAAUGUAAGGCCUGUAUUGUCUUGUACUAAUAUUUUUUUUUUACAUAUAUUUUUAAAAUUUAAUAUAUUCUGAUAAUAUUUAUCAGUAUACUGAUACAAACCGAUAUGAUACAUUAAGGAUAUAUGAAAUUGUGAAUCUUGGUGUGCAUUUCUCUUUUUUAGCAAAUAGAAACAUAAUUAAAAAAGAAUACAAAUCUUGUUACUUCAUUUUCAGCAGUGAAUGUGCAAAAUCUACUUUCACUUUACAUUUUUUUGUCUAUCAAAGAAAAUUUUUGCAUCUACCGUGUAGUAAAACAAUCUAUCUAUCUGUUGUUGCAUGUAAUAUAGAAGACUAAGACUGGGAAACCUACAAGGAAUUGAAGUUCUACAAGUUCUAAAGAUAAAUCAUGAUCUAAAAGGCAUUCCAAUCACCAUUUCUACUGCCAAAGCUCACGCUUCAGUUCUAGAUGUUGAAAUCAGGUUUGACAGGCAUCCUAUGUUGACACAAAUCAUAUAUGCAUACAACAUAUAACCAACAAUUAAUCGAAAACGUACCAAUCAUAAUGUUUGCGUACUACAUCAAGAAAAUAAACUGACCUCGACGAAAACCAACCAGUUAUUUGCACCAGAGCCAGAACCAGGGGCGAGAUUAUAUGCUGGAGCACUUCCAUCCAAGCAAACUGGAAAAUAAGAAGAUGAGUUCACUUGGAAGCUGCCGUGGGUAGAUGUCCAAGAAUGAACUUGUUCGGAUAACUAUCAUAGCAAUGAAGAAGAUAAGAUCCAAAAGAGAAUCCAUGGGUACACAGACCUGCUCCUUCAGCUACUGCACCUUUCAACACAGUCAUGGGCACAUUGUCACCUUCAACUUGUAGAAAGGCCAGUAGAUAGAGUAAGCAGAUGAGAGGGCACACCCAUGUUCCUGAUUUAACACCAACCAUUCUGCAACAUCGAUUCGAAUCUGUUAGCACAGAGGACAGAAAAGCCUACAGGAGGAGUCGAAAGGCCAUUCUGUACUUCAUUAGAAAUAGAAAUCUAUGAGAAUCCACGGGAUAAUGCAAGACAGGGCCUCAGAGAAACAUGCAAGCUGAGAACGAGGAACUUAGAAGAACUAAAAAGACCUGAAAUUUAGUGGCGAAGCACUGCGCACAAACCGCUUCGCGAUGAGCUGAGAACACUUGUAAGAUGGAGAGGAACUCGAGAUCUCGGCCGUGCUCAUUAUUAGCUGUGCAGGAAGGGAGACUCUUUAAAAGAUUUUGCUGUGCACUGAGUUUUUGGCAUAAUGAUUCCUGGAAUCGUAGGUGUUAAAAGACGGACAGCAGAAUUUGGAAGGUACCGAUCAAAGAAACAAAAACAUUCAAAUAUUCAUUCACUAAAUAGCAAAGAUGGAGGAAAGAAUGAAUAAGAUGGAAAGAUGACGCAAGAAGAAUAUUUCGUGAGCAAUUAUAUUAUCAUUUUGAAGGUUCAUGUAUCGGUUAUGCACGAACUCUCAGGACUAAUUAUAGAUUAUUCUCUAUAACUAAUUAUUUUUAUAAAAAAAUAAGGAUUAAAAUUAUAGCAAGAAAAGGAGAUUUUACGAUGAGGUUACUCCUUUAUCAUAAUUAUAGUCUCUAUAUUUAGAUAUACAUUUAACUCCUGGGAGUCUUACACAGAUUAAUUACAUAUUUUUCUAUAUAAUUAGUUAUCUUUAGUAUUCUAAUCGUUAUAUUUUCAAAAAUUACACUAGGAUCCCUAUAUUAAUGAAAGUGAAAUAUUUAACUUUGUUUCUUCUUACACCGUCGAUUUUGUUGAUGGAAAUACCAUAUACAUUCGGUGGUAAAUUGAAGUCAGGCAGAAUUAAUACAUGCUUAGUGAUAAAUCAUAUAUUAUUUUCAUCAGUAAAUCGAUGAUGUGAGAAAAAAAUAAAAUAAAAUGUUUCAUUUUUAUAAAUAUAAGAAUCGUAAUAUAAUUUUUAAAAUUAUAAGGAUCGGGAUACUAAAUAUAAUUAAUUAUAUGAGAUAAUAUAUAAUUAAUCCGUAAGGCUCUCUGGGAGGUAAUGUGUUUCUAAAUUUAGAGAUUAUAAUUAUGGUAAAGGAAUAACCUGAUCGUAAGACUUACCUUUUUUGUCAUUAUUUUAAUCAUCGCACCUUUGUUAUUAUAAUUAUAAUUAAAACUCACGAUGAAUAUGAGUUGCAUGAAAGUUAUUAGGUGAGGAACAAAUGGUGAUAUGGAUUCAGAAAUUUUAAUAUUUGUAAAGUGAUACUGUCAUUCGGAUUCUUUUUGGAUUUUGAUAUGAGAUUAAUGUAUCCCAAAUAAAACAAUUCAUUGCACACAUUCCGACGAUUCAUAAUGGAUUGAAACCUAAAGAGAAAACCUAAAUAGAUGAUUUCUUGAAAAAGUUUCUAAUUUUAAACUUUUCUUAGAAACGUAACUCUAAUUUUUACCUUUUCUAUUUAGUACCUUUAUUUUCUAUGAUAUAUGAAAUGGCUUUUACCGUUAUUUUUAUCAUGUUAUCUUCCGUCAUAUUGAUCAUAGAGCCUUUCCUAUGCAUCAUCCUUUUACGAACUUAAUUGUAUUUGUCUAAGUUGUAUGAUACUCUUGCAUGUCUAUCCAACGUUAAGGAUAAGUCUCACUGUAAUUUCUCAAAAAGAAAAGAUGAGUUAGAAGAAACAUUAUACUAGAAAUCUCACAUGUAGAUAUUUUAGUAAACCCUUGAUAGAUAAUAUAAAUAUAGAUAAACUUUAUAAGCUCUGAAUGAUUAUACAACAAAAGGUCUAACGCAAUCCACCAUGACUAGAAGUCAUCAUAAGUGCCCACAUGAUACUACUGCAAUAUAAUAAAAUGAACCAGCCUAAGAUAAUAUCCCAAGACCUAUCCAUCAAUGUGCUAUUUGGAUAGCUCUAGGAUCCUGAAAUAGUUGACAUUAUGCACUGUACUAUAUAACCAAAAACUCCAAAAAUGACUGUCUAGGUAACUUGUUUUUGAGUAGUAUUACCUUUAUGCACUGCACACAACCUACAUAUAUAAAUCUAAAAUAAUCACAAAAGUCAAUCAAGAUAGGAGUGUCAACUCAACUAUAAGCUCUAUACGUGUUAUGUAGAGCAUGAAUAAAACUAAAAGAUAUAGACAUAUAGAAAUAUUAUAUCAAACACCUUAUAUACAAAUUUAUAUGAUAUUAUACUCUACUUAUUUCUUGAACAUCUUCGUCAAAGACUUUGCGGACACUACAUGUCCUUACCUUUAUUAAAUCUUUAAUAUUUUGCUUCGGUUGUAAUGCACCUCUUAGCUUUCAAUUACUAUCUUUGAUUCGAUAGGACAUCUUUGGUGUCUCAAGUAAAAGAAUCAGAUACAUAAUUGGGAUAAUAGAAUCGCUAUCUGAUAAUAAAAUAUCAUAAGUAAAAGAAUCAGAUAUAUAAUUGGGAUAAUAGAAUCGCUAUCUGAUAUAAUAAUAAAGUACCAUUAAUCAUCUAACAUUAUGUAAGCGGAUCAAUCAGUGAACUUAUUCUCUAAUGAGUACCUGUAUUGUAUCCCUAGUAUCCCCACACGAGUAAUAUAAGACCAACCACCUCCAUUAUAUGGACGGAUGUAUAUCGCACCAAUAUAUCAAGUUAUCUUGAUGUUCCUUUUCGAGUAACCUUUGAUCGAGAUUAUUUAAGGUAUUUGUUUAAAGACGAAUCGAUCUCAUUAUCAUGAUCUCAUCAUGAUCCGAUUCUCAUUAUACAUAUCCAUGAACAUCACAAUAUAUGUAAUAGAUAUUAUAAAUUUUAAAAUAUUAAAUAAAUAAUAAACAAAACGAGUGUCUCAACGGAAAAGAGUAUCGUAUAUCUGACACAUACUUGUAACCAAAGAUAUUUCCCAUACAUCGAGAAACAUUUAUGUGAUUAAGAAAUAUGACAAGAAUGCUAAUCUUCCAUGGAAUUGCUGUCAACUUUACGACACGAAGAAUUGCAUGGAUAUGGGCAGUCGAUCUUCCUUACAGCAGAACUCCGACCGAAGUACCAGUCUCCCACAGCCUUCCCAAUUGGCUGCAAGAAAGAACAAAUAUGAUCAUCACUAUGGAAUUCCCAUCUUCUGAUAUGAGCGAUGAAGUUUUCACAGAGCUGCUAGAGCUUACAGUGUUAUCGAUCCUUGGAGAAUCAGCUGCAAACCACGUAUCCGCAUCUCCAGAUUGGCAAUGAGUGUGGCAGGAGAGGAUGAACAUUCCCGUAGACGAGCUGCCUGCCCCCGGCAGUGCGUUCAGGAACGUUGUCCUGAAACCUGAUAUCGACGUAUUAGCUCACUCUUUGCACACGAAGAAUAAAUUAGCAGUUGACAUAAAUCCAGAAUUACAACUAUUAAUAGUCGCCAGCUGAUCUACAAGUUCUUCAAAGAUCAGUUUUUGAAUCGCCUAACGUAGACAGCCACUGACACAUCACACCCGACAAGUGAGACCUGGUCCCACGGGUCGAUGACAUGGCAUAAGACGAUCACAUGAGUUCGGUCACACAACAUUGACUUAAAGGUUGAACCGAUAAAAUUAUUACUUUAUAAUUGUGUACGAUCUCAUGACUCAUUGAUGGUCAUUUAUCACGUCAUAUAAAGGCUCUCUAGACGUGUUCUCUUGAACUUAGGUAAUUAACCGAGUCUUCCUAACUAUUACUAGCUCAAGUAUCAAAAGAACAUUUUCGGAUAUACCUCCGAUGUAGCUCUUUGUAGGUUCUAUGCCUAAGUUCCCGGUACCUCAGCUUAAGAUAAACUUGAAAAUAGAUAUCGAUUGAUUUCGAACCCGAACACACACAUGUUGGACAACGAAAACAUAUAUGGUAACACCAACCUUGCAGUGUCUGAAGUUGAUCCGAGGAACAUUUCUUGAUAUCGAGCUUGCAGUCUCCCCAAGUCUUAUUAGUAUCAGCAGAGUUUGGCACUAAAAUAUUUCUGAUCUGCGAAUAGGUAACACACGUCACACAGUAGAAACCUUCACGAGAGUGGUUAAUAAAAUAAUAUAGCUCAUUAAAGUUAUAACCUGCCAUUGAUCGUAUGCUGCAUUGAGUAUAAAAAGGGGUGUCUUCAUUGUGGCCACCACGUUCUGCGGGAAAAAGCACUGCAUGUAUUCACGUAACCAAAGAGUAAGUCAGAUGACUUGAGGUCUUCUGCAUUCGUUCCAGAAUGAAAGUAUACUUCCCACCUUGUUUGCUGGUAAGCUCGACGUGCAUGAAGAUGGCAAAUUAUUUGCUGAUGCCUUCAAAACCAAAAGCCACCACAGAAUUAUCAUCACAAAAAGAUUGGAGGGAGUCAUCAAUCAAGAGCAUGGAAGGUCAGAGCAUACAUGAAGAUUAAUAACAUCACUAUAAAAGGAUAGGAUCGAGUCUGCUCCAGAAAUAUCCUUCCUGUUCAUAAAAACCAUAGUACUGGUUAACGUCAGAGCCAGAAAGAGACUCAGAGAUCACAAUCAAAUUAACAUAUAUUAGGUUAGACAUCGAUUCAAUCUAAAAGUUUAAGCCAUUUGAGUACAGACAAAACCUAGUAUAUGUAAACUUAGCGAUAAACGACUAUCCUCUCAAUCCAGCUUUUUUAUCUUAUAAUAUUUUUGGUUUAGCUCUCUUUAUCUCGUAUGUAUAUAUGUGAAUAUUUGCAACAGUAGCCCGACGAUGAGAUUCGUGACGCGGAAUAAAGAUGUAGAACUUACGCAUCAAUGAAAUAACCAGCAUCGGAGAAGCAUUUCACUGUUGCAUUCGCUGGGAGAAGACUACGGAAGCUGUCACAAUGUAGUAUGGUUGUCAAUCCACCUGCUGAGCAACCACCGAGAAUUGCCUGCGAGCAUUCGCCAAUGUUAGAACAGAAACUUUGAGAGUGAUAAGACUUGACCACUUGACAUCCACAUACGUUUUGUGCUUUGUUCAUCCCCCUCGCCAAUAGAUCUUUCAUAAUAGCUCGCCAAACUCUGGCUCCUCUGAAGUAGAGACCUGUAGCCUAAUCAAACGAAGAUGUGAAAGACAUGUUAUCGAUACAGCGUUGCUUAGCAAGGAAAUGAAACAUAUAUCAGAAGGAGCAUCGGAUUAGGAGCUCACAGGAUCUACUUUUUCUAUGUCCCCUGUAAAUGAGGCACCAUCACAGUACCGAAUCUUGACCCGGUUCCAGUUAUAGAAGUCUGCAAGCAUUGCAAGAAUCAAAGCAAAUAAUAAGACAGCAAAAGCUCCAUAUUAUUAUUGUUGUUGUUGUAUUCGAUGGCAUCAUUCGAAUGAUACAAUGAAAGUUAAAUGUGACAUGCAUCAAGAAAUUGUGUUAAUAGUACAUUGGUAGAGAAGGAAGACUAAUCAUACCAGGAUUUCUUUCCUGAACGCCUCCUAACAUGCCAGAGAAGGAGACAGGCGGCAUAUGAUUAGAGGAACCUCUAAAAUUGCCUUUACGUUCUACGCAAUCAUUAACAGUGCUGCACCAACCACCUCCCUGCAAAAUGACGAGGGAGGGAUUUAUUACGUGACCAAGAAGAGAUUCUUUCGAAACUUGGAUGUUCCUCAAUUUGAGAUUUAUAAUAUCGUUCGAGAUAAUAUGAUAUUGUAAUACUCUCAUUAAUCACACAUUAAAGAUGGACAAAAUUAAGAUUAAUUUAUAAGAAUCUCAUAAGUAAAUUAUUAUUAAUUUUUAUUUAAAUAUUUUAAUUAAUGAUUUAAGUUAAAUAAAAUUGAUAAACCAAUUAGCUCACCAAGUCAACAGUUUGUCAUCACUGAUUAGGGUAAAUUGACUUUGCUCAAUAUAAUGCCUGUAUUGUCUUUUACUGAUUUUUUUUUACAUAUAUUUUUAAAAUUUAGUAUAUUCCGAUAAUACCGUGAGUACACUGAUACAAACCAGUAUGAUAUAUAACAAAACUUGGUGUACAUUAAGGAUAUAAGAAAUUAUGAAUCUUGGUGUACAUUUCUCUUUUGUAGCAAAUAGAAACAUAAUUAAAAAAGAAUACAAAUCUUGUUACUUCAUUUUCAGCAGUGAAUGUGCAAAAUCUACUUUCACUUUACAUUUUUUUGUCUAUCAAAGAAAUUUUUUGCGAUCUACCGUGUAGUAAAACAAUCUAUCUAUCUGUUGUUGCAUGUAAUAUAGAAGACUAAGACUGGGAAACCAACAAGGAAUUGAAGUUCUACAAGUUCUAAAGAUAAAUCAUGAUCUAAGAGGCAUUCCAAUCACCAUUUCUACUGCCAAAGCUCACGCUUCAGUUCUAGAUGUUGAAAUCAGGUUUGACAGGCAUCCUAUGUUGACACAAAUCAUAUAUGCAUACAACAUAUAACCAACAAUUAAUCGAAAACGUACCGAUCAUAAUGCUUACGAACUACAUCAAUAAAAUAAACUGACCUCGACGAAAAGCAACCAGUUAUUUGCACCAGAGCCAGAACCAGGGGCGAGAUUAUAUGCUGCAGGACUUCCAUCCAAGCAAACUGGAAAAUAAGAAGAUGAGCUCAUUUGGAAGCUGCCGUGGGUAGAUGUCCAAGAAUGAACUUGUUCGGAUAACUAUCAUAGUAAUGAAGAAGAUAAGAUCCAAAAGAGAAUCCAUGGGUACACAGACCUGCUCCUUCAGCUACUGCACUUUUCAACAGAGUCAUGGGCACAUUGUCACCUUCAACUUGUAGAAAGGCCAGUAGAUAGAGUAAGCAGAUGAGAGGGCACACCCAUGUUCCUGAUUUAACACCAACCAUUCUGCAACAACGAUUCGAAUCUGUUAACACAGAAGACAGAAAAGCCUACAGGAGGAGUCGAAAGGCCAUUCUGUACUUCAUUAGAAAUAGAAAUCUACGAGAAUCCACGGGAUAAUCCAAGACAAGGCCUCAGAGAAACAUGCAAGCUGAGAACGAGGAACUUAGAAGAACUAAAAAGACCUGAAAUUUAAUGGCGAAGCACUGCGCACAAACCGCUUCGCGAUGAGCUGAGAACACUUGUACGAUGGAGAGGAACUCGAGCUCUCGGCCGUGCUCAUUUUUGGCUGUGGAGGAAGGGACUCUUUAAAAGAUUUUGCUGUGCACGGAGUUUUUGUCAUAAUGAUUCCUGGAAUCGCAGGUGUUUAAAGACGGACAUCAGAAUUUGGAAGGUACCGAUCAAAGAAAGAAAAACAUUCAAACGUUCCUUCGUUAAAUACCAAAGAUGGAGGAAAGAAUGAAUAUGAUCGAAAGAUGACGCAAGAAGAAUAUUUCUUGAGCAAUUAUAUUAUCAUUUUGAAGGUUGAUGUAUCGGUAAUGCACGAGACUCUCGGGACUAAUUAUAGAUUAUGCUCUAUAAUUAACUAUCGUUACAAUGAAAGAAUAAGGAUUAAAAUAAUAAAAAGAAAAAGAGGUUUUACGGUGAGGUUAUUCUUUUACCAUAAUUACAGUCUCUAUAUUUAGAUAUAGAUAUAACUCCCGAGAGUCUUAUAUAGAUUAAUUAGAUUCGUAAUUAGUUAUCUUUAGCAUUCUAAUCCGUAUACGUUCAAAAAUUAUAUUAAGAUUUCUAUAUUAAUUAAAGUGAAAUAUUUAAAUUUGUUUCUCCUUACGUCGUCGAUUUUACUGAUAGAAAUACCACAUACUCUCAGUGAGAUAGAAUCAAUACGUGCUCAGUGAUAAAUCAUACAAUAUUUUCAUCAGCAAAAUCGAUGAUGUUAAAAAAAAAUAGAAUUAAAUGUUUCAAUCAUAUAAGUAUAUGAAUCAUAAUGUAACUUUUAAAAUUAUAAGGAUUGGGAUACUAAAUAUAAUUAAUUAUAGAAGAUAAUAUGUAAUUAAUCUGUAAGACUCCUUGGGAGUUAAUGUGUUUCUAAAUUUAGAGACUAUCAUUAUGGUAAAGGAAUAACCUCACCAUAAGACUUACCUUUUUUUGUUAUUAUUUUAAUCAUCGCUUCUUUGUUGUUAUAAUUCUAAUUAAAACUCAUGAGUUGGAUGAAAGUUAUUACGUGAAGAACAAAUGGUGAAAUGGAAUCAGAAAUUUUAAUAUUUGUAAAGUGAUACUAUCAUUCUGGUUCUUUCCGAUUUUGAUAUGAGAUUAAGAUACCCCAAAUAUAAUAAUUCAUUGCACACACUAUCAUAAUUAAUAAUGGAUUGAAACCUAAAUAAAAAACCUAAAUGGAUGAUUUCCUGAAAAAGUUUCUCAUUUUAAACUUUUCUUAGAAAUAUGCCUCUAAUUUUUACCAUUUCCAUUUGGUACCUUUAUUUUCUAUGACAUAUGAAAUGGCUCUCAUCAUCAUUUUUAUCCUGUUAUCUUCCAUCAUGUUAAUCGUCUAGCCUUUCCUACACAUUAUCUUUUUAUGGACUUAAUUGUAUUUGUUUAAGUUGUAUGAUACACUUAUAUGUCUAUCCAUUGUUAAGGAUGAGUCUCACCGUAAUCUUUCAAAAAGAGCUAUUUAGUGUUGUAGGCAUAUCUCUUGGCAGCGUGCUGGAGUUUUUCUCAACCAUGAGGAACAGGCCGGCUUCCGAUGCUGUUGCUCUACUUAGUAUCAACUGGUUCAUUCUGGGUACUCUCUCUUCUCGGACGUUGCCUGUCAUUGCUCAUAUGCUUGCACCGUCGGCCAUCAGGAUUGCUGUUCAGCUGGUUGGCUGGCUUGGUUUCUCUGUGUAGCCUAAUGGCCAUUAAGCAAAGCAGUUCUUGUAGUCAGUUGUCGGUGUUUGCUUUUUGAUGUAAUGGUUCACAUCAGUAUGUUCUUUGUUGCAAUGUCGGUCUUGUAGCUUCUGUGACGCUGUAGCUUCACUUGUACUGUCACUGUGGCUUAUGUGGUGCUUGGUUUGCUUUCUUUCAGUUAACCUGUUUGAAAUCUUUUACCACUUCAUUCAUCCGGGAGUUGUCCAUAUAUCAUAAAUUGCAUGGUAGCGAACAGCUCUGUUCUCCAAAUGGAUGAUGACAACGAUGCUCGACUCUUCGUAGAACCAUAUGGACUAAUCAGUGAGAAUGAUGCUGAUCUACGAGAUGACGGAACGUGCGUCCACAAUGUCUCGGUGUUAUUGUGGUCUUGUGCGAGGUAAUAAAAUAUUAUCUUCAGUCUUUAUAUUUUAAGUUUUUAUAUUUUUAAAAAAUUAUAUUAAUAUUUUUAUAGGUAUAAAAGUGAAAUAUGUAGGUUUAUUAUUCUAACAUUAAAUUUAAUGUUUCAGUUGGUAACGAAGAAUGACGUCAUCGUUGCUGAGAGCUACAAGUGAUUGUUGUGGAUGAGAAGAGUUACACUGUGAGGUGAGGAUCACUCUCACCUUUUGUUAUCGUUUUCUUUAUUCACAAUAACCACCCAUGGCCUCUAGUGGCAUCACCGUUUUUCUUAUAACAAUAACCAUCCUUAGCCCCUAAUGGCAUCACCAUUUGUUAUUAUCGACAUCGUCUCUCAUGUAAAAAUUGGAAUGUUAAAAUUAUUUUUUUAUUUUUAUAUUUUCGUCAGUAAAAACAAAACCAAUAAUAUUAUUGUAAAUGGAUCUAGAUGUUUAAUGGUAAGAAUGUCAAUAUAAUUUUUUAAAGUGUAGAGACUAGGAUACCAAAAUAAUUAACUAGAUAAUAUACAAUUAGCCCUCAAACUUUAUAUCAAUAAUAUCAAAUUUAGGUGAUCUCAUGUUAACACAAUUGUUAGGAGGGCAAUCAGUAGAGCAGAGAUAUGGACCCUUCCCUUCUCCCUAACCCUAAAGAAUCAUCAAAGUUUUGUAAGCAACGGAGAAGGAAAAUGAAUAUGGAUCAGAGAUAUUAUUAUGUAGGCCUGAAACAAUAAGAAAAAACCCUAGUGCAAGUAGUGUACGUUGUAAGGAGCACCUUCCCACGGAGCUUUUUGAUCUUGUAGGCCUUUGGAUUAGCAAUAUAUAAUUGCUUUUAAAGGUGAAGAAGGACUUUUUCAUUUUUAUUUAUUUAUUUUUCUGCCAAUUGAAAGAAACACGCGGCUGGUUUCCCCUGAUUUGAACGGGGAGCACAACCCUGGUUCGGGUUCCUCGCAGUCGUUGGAUCUGUAGCCACCCCGAAUUCCCAGCAUCCGACGGUUGUGCGUGGGCCGGAGAGCCAUAAAAUUACAAGAUCACCAGAACGACAUUUUACCUUCCUCCGAUCGACGCCACCAUCCAACCGGGCGCCGUCUGCAGGUAUUUUCUCCCUCUUUUCCUAUCCCACUGUCGACGCUCGCCGCUGUCGUCUGUUCCGCCUGUCCGCUCCUGUAAUAGUGUUUUUUCUUUUUUGAUCAAAUUCAAUGUCUUCUAUUUGGUUCAGCAUGCAGUGAAUUAUCUCAUCAAAGCCUUAUUUUGUGAGUGCACCAGUGAUCUGGUUAUGAGGACAGGCCUUGGUACAGUAGUAAGGUUGUUCCUUUGCGACCUAGGAAAUCAAGGUUCGAGUCACGGAAAAGACUUUGUACAUUGACCCUCCCCAGACCCCGCAUUGGCGGGAGCCUCGGGCACUGGGUACACCCUUUAUAGUUGAUUUUGUUAUGAUGCCACCUGGAGCCUUUGUUAGUUUCGAGUUUCAGUUUUCUUGGUUUCAUUUUCAAAUCUAGAAUGAAGGACUACAAAAUUAGGCAGUUAAGCAUCAAAUUUUAGCAGAAUAUUGAAUCUGCAAAAUUUGAUAAUGGUGUUCAGGAAUUAAAGUGCUUAUGCAUAGAUGCAAUUUCGAAGAUUCUGUUGCUUUUUCUUCCCUUAAAACACUGAAAAAAGAUGUGUGUUAUCAGCUGUAUUUAUAUUGUAGCCUGAUCUAUAUCUGAUAGUAUAAAUGGUUAAUGGAAACAUGGGUAUCAUUAUCUGUCGUAAAAUUUAUGCAUGAAAUUUUACUGAGAAAUAUAUGUUGUGGGCAGUAUCAUAGAGAUUAAAUGAUGACAAUAGUGUUUUUCUAACAACUUAUUAAGAUAUUUCUUAGGUUUAUGUUUCUGUAGGUUUAUGUUUCUGAAGGCUAUUAUUUGAAUUCAAGUUGCUGCCCACUGAAUAUGUAUGUUUUAGUGUGUAAAUAAGGAACCCUUGAACUUAUUUGAAACAUAUACUACUUUCUUUUCAUAGGAUUUGUAAAUGUCUAAAAGAUUCUAUGUCGCUGCAGUAACAGAUUUUCUGUUGGCCUAAGCAUUCAAGGAUUCGAGAUUUUGUCUCAUGCCUAGGGCUUGUGUGAAUGACAUGUAUCUCAUGUAUUCUGUAGAAUUCAUCAUUGUAAUCCAUUUAGAUUAUGCAUGUCCAUGACUAAAAGUUAUAUCUCUUUCUAGGUAUUUAAAGAUAUAUUUUUUCCAGUAUCUUUGUUGGCAUCAGACUUGGGGAUUCCAGGAAUUUAUCUCGUGCAUGAUUUUAUCACUGUGGAGGAAGAAAAGGUUAGAACUCAAGUAAAUUUAUACAUGUUCUUUCUGUAUUUAUAGAAUAUGUUCCUGGAAUAUGUUUAGAAAGUCCAUCUCUCUGUUUUAUUUUCAGAGAUUCCUUGCAGAAGUUGACAAUAGGCAGUGGAGAAGUCUGUCGAAAAGAAGAGUUCAGCAUUAUGGUUAUGAAUUUUUGUAUGAGGUAAGCUGCUUUUUGUACCUACCUACUACGACCGAAUAUAUGACACUCUGCAAACUUCCGCGCGAUUAUGAAAUUUGGAUUUACAAUGAAAUUUGCUGGUUGAGAUUGCUACAAUUUUACAUACCUAUUGUUAUCAUGGUUCAUUAUUUUGCCGGGACUGGUACAGGCUGUGCGGUACAUACCAAUCCGAUGGAGAACUGAGUAGCAGACCACCUGGAAUCAGGAAAUGGGAAUAUAACAAUUUGUUGUAUCCAAGAGUUUGCUUGUUUAUCAGACUGGCUUCUCUCAGAAUCAUUUAUAGGCUCCAAAUUUCCUCUAGCUUUCUUUUUGGUCUGACUGGUUGUUUGACUGAAGUUUUGCCUGAU